UCUCAGUGUUCUGGUGGGACGAUAUUGGU
rnacentral:piRNA from 1 species